CACAGGCUGCAGGGGUGGUCUCCAUCAGGCUCUGUCACUGUGUGCUCACUGCAUGAGCACUCACUGAGCCCCCAGGGGACUGCAGCAGUGAGAAGCUGGGGGAGAAAUGGUGUGCUCUGGUAAAGGAGCAGCCCAGCAAACAGGACAGCAUUGCAGAUUUACAGCUCUGGUGUGGGAUGGACAACAACAACUCUGGAUGCUAGGAAGAUCGAUUCAGAGACGCUGUGAGGUCAAGGAUGAAAGCAGCAGUGAGACACUGAUAUGAAGGUCCUCCUGAUGAAGAGCUCUCCUUUCAAACUGUGGCUCAUUUACUUGGACUGCUCAGUCUUGCUACUAAUUAUAUUUUUAAAACAUAUAAGAAA
rnacentral:lncRNA from 1 species